rnacentral:rRNA from 1 species
GACGAACGCUGGCGGCGUGCUUAACACAUGCAAGUCGAACGGAAAGGCCCUGCUUUUGUGGGGUGCUCGAGUGGCGAACGGGUGAGUAACACGUGAGUAACCUGCCCUUGACUUUGGGAUAACUUCAGGAAACUGGGGCUAAUACCGGAUAGGAGCUCCUGCUGCAUGGUGGGGGUUGGAAAGUUUCGGCGGUUGGGGAUGGACUCGCGGCUUAUCAGCUUGUUGGUGGGGUAGUGGCUUACCAAGGCUUUGACGGGUAGCCGGCCUGGGAGGGUGACCGGCCACAUGGGGACUGAGGGACGGCCCAGAGGGCUACGGGAGGCAGCGGGGGGGAAUAUGGCACAAUGGGCGGAAGCCGGAUGCAGAAACGCCGCGUGCGGGAUGACGGCCUUUGGGGUGUAAACCGCUUUCGCCUGUGACGAAGCGGGAGUGACGGUAAUGGGUAAAGAAGCACCGGCUAACUACGUG